rnacentral:rRNA from 1 species
UACGAAGGGUCCAAGCGUUAUCCGGAUUUAUUGGGUUUAAAGGGUGCGUAGGCGGCUUAUUAAGUCAGUGGUGAAAGCCUUCAGCUUAACUGAAGAACUGCCAUUGAUACUGAUGAGCUUGAGUAUAUUUGAGGCCGGCGGAAUGUGUCAUGUAGCGGUGAAAUGCUUAGAUAUGACACAGAACACCGAUUGCGAAGGCAGCUGGCUAAACUAUAACUGACGCUGAUGCACGAAAGCGUGGGGAGCAAACAGG